GGUUGAUUAGGUGGCUUCAGAACAGCACUCGCUUAAUAACAACAUUCCUAGUUUUGGAUGAGGAAGUUAGAAAUUGUUACAUACAUUUUCGUUUUCUUUCAAUGUAUUACUAUAAACUUUGUAUGAAAAUAAAAUCUUUAAACGAAUCGACCGCUGUUGACGCCCACGCAGAAAUCCCAGGAAGUAUAAUCGAGCGCAGAAAGCCGCGUUUCGAUGGAGUAUGGCGCUCUCCAGAGGCUUGAGAUGCUGUCAAAAGGUUUUCUCGUGGAUACCUGUUCUUAUUAUUGCUUCCGUGGUGCUGUGGUCGUAUUACGCUUACGUAUUUCAGCUAUGCCUAUUCACACUGUCGAACUCACUGGAAAAGGUGUCCUAUUUAUUGGUAUUCCAUGUUUGCUUUGGAAUGUUUUCCUGGACCUACUGGAAGUCCAUUUUUACCCCAGUUGCAUCACCAUGCAAGAAGUUUCAGCUGUCUUACUCCGACAAGGAAAGGUACGAGAUGGAGGAGAGACCAGAUGCACAGAAACAAAUCUUGGUCGAUAUUGCCAAGAAGCUACCCAUCUACACUCGAGCACAGUCUGGAGCUAUCAGGUUCUGCGACCGCUGCCAGGUGUUGAAGCCUGACCGCUGUCACCACUGCUCAGUCUGUGAAACAUGCGUUUUGAAAAUGGACCAUCACUGCCCCUGGGUGAACAACUGUGUCGGCUUUUCCAACUACAAGUUUUUCCUGCUUUUCCUCUCUUAUUCAAUGUUAUACUGCAUAUACAUUGCUGCCACAGUCUUUCAGUACUUCAUAAAAUUCUGGGUGGGGGACUUGCCAAACGGACCAGCAAAGUUCCAUGUCCUUUUCCUCAUGUUUGUGGCACUCAUGUUUUUUGUUAGUCUCAUGUUCCUCUUCAGUUAUCACUGUUGGUUGGUUGCCAAAAACAGAUCCACUUUAGGUCACCUUUUCCAGAGGCCUUUUCAGUUCCAGUUUUUGUCAGCGGACCGGACAGACACGGUUUCAAUGUUGGCCUACGCAAAAAUCUGCAGCAAGUAUUCGGCAAAGACAGGAAACUUUGGUUCAUCCCUGUUUUCACAAGCCAAGGAAAUGGACAUUUUUUUCCUUUGAAGAAUCGGAGCGAGUGUCAGAACCCCUUACUGGCAAACGGCGAGAUGUGGGAGGAGUCAGAUGACGCUUCUGAGGAAGGAAGCUGGGGUGAGGAUCAAGACCCUUCUGUAACCGUAGAGAUGGAGGACUAAACAAUUGACACUGAUGUAGAAGUUCAAGAGACUGAAGGGGAGAGAACAUACAAUCAAAGGUGGAUGCUCUCCAACACCUCCACAUGGGCCUAAAUUGUGGAUCACAAUGGUGUUUGGGUGUUAUUCCCCUCUUAUAUAGACGUGAACAACAGGAUGACCAUCAGAGGGGGGUCCCGCGGCCGUGCAAGAAUUACCUGCAUUUUCAUGUGAUUAUUCUAACGUGUGCUUUUGCAAAGGCGUCACUCAAAGUAACCUGUUCGGAAUUACUUCUGGUGACGGAUUCAUUUUACAGGAAGUCUUGCAACCUAGUAGCACAUCUUAUUCAUGUCCACUUACUUAACCUGAGCCUUACACAUAAUGUCUAUUGUCUUGUGUCGUGGGGAUCCGUUUUCCAAAUGAAUGUAUCCAGCAGCUUUUAGGUACAAAUCUUGAAUGGGUACGUUCAUAGUUUUUCAUCAUAACCAUGUGGGGCCAGAAUAGAACAGUAAACAAACAGGAAUCAUAUUUCCCAAAAAUGUAACGUAAGCACUUAAUAUAAUGCUCAUCAGAAUCCUAUCCUCACUGUUUGCAAAACCUAGCCUCAAAUAGUCAUCGUGUUGAUAAGCCAAUGACUUUAACAACCAUUAGGCUGCAACCAAGUGGUUGGCACGACUGUCUCACAGCGCCAAGGAUCUGCAUUUGAGUCUCUUUUGGCCUUUCUGUGUGAUGUAUGCAUGUUUUGCCUGUGCAUGCACUUUUGUUUAUACAAUGUUUGUUAUUUGAAGACAAGAUUGUCCAAAUGUGUAAAUGUAUGAAUGUGUCUUGACCAAGUGUAGACAGACUCGUGCUCUGUCAACUGAUUGGCCACUGAGUACAAAUCUGAGUAGAUGUAGCCAAGAUCGUGAUGUUCUGCCAUGCAUUUCGUUACGUGACUUAAUAGAGGACAGUUAGUUACUUUCAGCUGCAUACAAUGCAUUACAAAGUAAAAAAGUGCGAAUGUAGCGCAGUUGCACAUUCCGUUCCUAGAGUAACACCGAAGUCACAAUGCUUCCGAACCCAACAUCAACAGAUCUAGUGCUGCCCUCCCAAAGUCUGUUGUUCAAAUAAAUGCCUCAGAGAAACCUUGUAAUUAUUGGAGGUGAGCAUAUCAACAUUCCAAGAUAUGAGGAAAUGCAGUAUAUUCUAUGUAUUAUGUUUGCUAGUUGAAAAACGCAUGACAAUAUUCACUAAAAUGGUCAGAAUGGACCUCAUCAGCACUGAGAUUUUUGAUACUUAUGUAGGAUAAAAACAUGGUUAAUAGGCAAAGGUUCUUGCUUAAGUAGUUUCAUUGUAAUUCAAUGUAAACGGAAAGCAGGUCUUUACUCAUUGGCUGCCAUUGACGGCAAUAGAUGUCAAAUCCAUUUGAAAUGGAUUGGACGUCUACUAGUGACUAACUAAAUUCAGAGCAGAAAGAUGAAACAUGAUUGAACAUCUAUCAUCGCCAGUGGCACUGGAAGAGUUAUGAGAUUUUUGUAUUGUUUUGUAUCCGUGUUUUUUUUUUUUUAAACACAUUUGAUGCAAUUGUUUUGAGACCAAACAAACAUUUGUGGUAACAAUUUAUUGACAAUGAAGGUGACACUUGAAUGGAACCCGGAUUCGUUUCACUUCACUAACACUUGUCAUUAUAACAGGACAUUUUUACUUUGUUGGACCAACCAAAUAUCUUUGUCAGAAAACACUCCCAUAUCAUUUUUUAAUUUCCCAUUUAUACUGUGUAUGUUUAAUGUUUGUGCACGUAGAAACCUUCAGAAAAUGUUCAUGAUGCUUAUUUAUUGCUAAAAUGAAAAUGAGACAUAGCUGCUGCAGGAUAUUGUCUAUAUUUUGCCCCAUUAUGUGACAUGUAUAGUUAUAUCAAAUAUCUCAUUGAUGCGUAUUUUAUGUAUCAGAAACCUGGAUGUCUAACAAUUUUUUUUUUUUUUUUUCUUUAACCACGAGGCAGUAUUUACAAAAUCUCAUGGUUCAGUUGAAGGUGGUCUUUGGUGUAUUGUAUGUAAUUGUGUUGUUUCUGUCAAUUGUCAGUUAUUUUCCAUUUGGUGUUCUUUCUGUUACAAAUAUAAAUUUAUUUAAUCACCACUGGUAGCAGCCACAAUAAAAUGAUCUUGAUAUGGCUCA